rnacentral:misc_RNA from 1 species
AAGUCGUAACAAGGUUUCCGUAGGUGAACCUGCGGAAGGAUCAUUAAAAAAUUGAGGUAUUCAUUACCUCUUUUUGUAUUUAAAACCUCACUCUAUAAAACCUAAAAUUUUUUUAAAAAUAAAAUUAAAAACUUUCAACAAUGGAUCUCUUGGUUCUC